CAAUUGAUUGGUGCUUGCAUCAUGAUUUACAUUUGAGUGAGUGGCGAACUGGUGAGUAACACGUGGGAAACCUGCCCAGAAGCGGGGGAUAACACCUGGAAACAGAUGCUAAUACCGCAUAACAACUUGGACCGCAUGGUCCGAGUUUGAAAGAUGGCUUCGGCUAUCACUUUUGGAUGGUCCCGCGGCGUAUUAGCUAGAUGGUGAGGUAACGGCUCACCAUGGCAAUGAUACGUAGCCGACCUGAGAGGGUAAUCGGCCACAUUGGGACUGAGACACGGCCCAAACUCCUACGGGAGGCAGCAGUAGGGAAUCUUCCACAAUGGACGAAAGUCUGAUGGAGCAACGCCGCGUGAGUGAAGAAGGGUUUCGGCUCGUAAAACUCUGUUGUUAAAGAAGAACAUAUCUGAGAGUAACUGUUCAGGUAUUGACGGUAUUUAACCAGAAAGCCACGGCUAACUACGUGCCAGCAGCCGCGGUAAUACGUAGGUGGCAAGCGUUGUCCGGAUUUAUUGGGCGUAAAGCGAGCGCAGGCGGUUUUUUAAGUCUGAUGUGAAAGCCUUCGGCUCAACCGAAGAAGUGCAUCGGAAACUGGGAAACUUGAGUGCAGAAGAGGACAGUGGAACUCCAUGUGUAGCGGUGAAAUGCGUAGAUAUAUGGAAGAACACCAGUGGCGAAGGCGGCUGUCUGGUCUGUAACUGACGCUGAGGCUCGAAAGUAUGGGUAGCAAACAGGAUUAGAUACCCUGGUAGUCCAUACCGUAAACGAUGAAUGCUAAGUGUUGGAGGGUUUCCGCCCUUCAGUGCUGCAGCUAACGCAUUAAGCAUUCCGCCUGGGGAGUACGGCCGCAAGGCUGAAACUCAAAGGAAUUGACGGGGGCCCGCACAAGCGGUGGAGCAUGUGGUUUAAUUCGAAGCUACGCGAAGAACCUUACCAGGUCUUGACAUACUAUGCAAAUCUAAGAGAUUAGACGUUCCCUUCGGGGACAUGGAUACAGGUGGUGCAUGGUUGUCGUCAGCUCGUGUCGUGAGAUGUUGGGUUAAGUCCCGCAACGAGCGCAACCCUUAUUAUCAGUUGCCAGCAUUAAGUUGGGCACUCUGGUGAGACUGCCGGUGACAAACCGGAGGAAGGUGGGGAUGACGUCAAAUCAUCAUGCCCCUUAUGACCUGGGCUACACACGUGCUACAAUGGAUGGUACAACGAGUUGCGAACUCGCGAGAGUAAGCUAAUCUCUUAAAGCCAUUCUCAGUUCGGAUUGUAGGCUGCAACUCGCCUACAUGAAGUCGGAAUCGCUAGUAAUCGCGGAUCAGCAUGCCGCGGUGAAUACGUUCCCGGGCCUUGUACACACCGCCCGUCACACCAUGAGAGUUUGUAACACCCAAAGUCGGU
rnacentral:rRNA from 1 species